GGUUCCUUAGCUCAAUGUUAGAGCAUUUGACUGCACAUCAAGAGGUCACCAGUUCAAACCUGGUAGGGCCCU
rfam:Capsicum annuum cultivar Zunla-1 chromosome 7, whole genome shotgun sequence